rnacentral:rRNA from 1 species
UAGGGAAGCUUCGGCAAUGGGGGGAACCCUGAUCGAGCAACGCCGCGUGAGUGAAGAAGGUUCUCGGAUCGUAAAGCUCUGUUGUUAAGGAAGAACGAGCGUGAGAACGGAAAGUUCAUGCUGUGACGGUACUUAACCAGAAAGGGACGGCUAACUACGUGCCAGCAGCCGCGGUAAUACGUAGGUCCCGAGCGUUGUCCGGAGUUAUUGGGCGUAAAGCGAGCGCAGGCGGUUAGAAAAGUCUGAAGUGAAAGGCAGUGGCUCAACCAUUGUAGGCUUUGGAGACUGUUGAACUUGAGUGCAGGAGGGGAGGGUGGAAUUCCAUGUGUAGCGGUGAAAUGCGUAGAUAUAUGGAGGAACACCGAUGGCGAAAGCAGCUCACUGGUCUGUAACUGACACUGAGUCUCGAAAGCGUGGGGAGCGAACAGG